rnacentral:rRNA from 1 species
GAUGGAGAGGUAACGGCUCACCAUGGCUACGAUGUUUAGGGGAACUGAGAGGUUGACCCCCCACACUGGAACUGAGACACGGUCCAGACUCCUACGGGAGGCAGCAGUGAGGAAUAUUGGACAAUGGAUGGAAAUCUGAUCCAGCCAUGCCGCGUGCAGGAAGAAGGUCCUAUGGAUUGUAAACUGCUUUAGUGCGGGAGCAAUAAGGUCCACGAGUGGACCGAUGAGAGUACCGCAAGAAUAAGCAUCGGCUAACUCCGUGCCAGCAGCCGCGGUAAUACGGGGGAUGCAAGCGUUAUCCGGAUUUAUUGGGUUUAAAGGGUGCGUAGGCGGUCUGUCAAGUCGGCGGUGAAAACAGCAUGCUAAACAUGAUGCUUGCCGUCGAGACUGGUGGGCUUGAAUGUGGAUGAUGCCGGCGGAAUGUGUAAAGUAGCGGUGAAAUGCAUAGAUAUUACACAGAAGGUCGAUUGCGAAAGCAGCUGGCAAAGGCACUAUUGACGCUGAGGCACGAAAGUGCGGGGAUCGAACAGGAUUAGAUACCCUGGUAGUCCGCACAGUAAACGAUGAUAACUAACUGUCGGCGAUACACAGUCGGUGGUAAAGAGA